GUCAUGGUGAUGAUGAAGAAGCUUUUGUCGAACCGUUUGU
rnacentral:sRNA from 1 species